rnacentral:rRNA from 1 species
AUGGCUUUCUAUCACAAAUCUCAGCAGUUCCACUACACAGAAGGUCAAGCAUAUGAUCACUUGCUGCUGCAUUGGGUGUCAGCCGCUCCACACUCCACAGGAAAUUCCAGCUUAAUGAUAAGGAGGCACUCCAACAGGGUGAAGCCGCCUUUGAAAGAGAAGAAUAAGAGAGAAAGGGUUCGAUUUUGCAUGUCGAUGCUGGACCAGACAACCCUGCAGAAUGAAAGAAUUUGCUUCAACACUAUGCAUAAUAUUGUGCAUAUUGAUGAGAAAUGGUUUCUCAUGACAAAAAGGAACAUAAACUACUACCUAAUGCCAGAUGAAGAAGACCCAGUAAGGCCAGUUCCAAACAAGAUUGGAAAGGUGAUGUUUCUCACAGCAGUUGCAAGGCCCAGAUACGACGCUGACGGGAAUGUCACAUUCUCAGGAAAGAUUGGGGUUUGGCCUUUCGUCACAACAGUUGUGACAUAA